rnacentral:rRNA from 1 species
GACGAACGCUGGCGGCGUGCUUAACACAUGCAAGUCGAACGGAAAGGCCCUGCUUUUGUGGGGUGCUCGAGUGGCGAACGGGUGAGUAACAAGUGAGUAACCUGCCCUUGACUUUGGGAUAACUUCAGGAAACUGGGGCUAAUACUGGCUAGGAGCUCCUGCUGCAUGGUGGGGGUUGGAAAGUUUCGGCGGUUGGGGUUGGACUCGCGGCUUAUCAGCUUGUUGGUGGGGUAGUGGCUUACCAAGGCUUUGACGGGUAGCCGGCCUGAGAGGGUGACCAGGCACAUUAGGACUGAGGUACGGCCCAGACGCGUACGGGAGGCAGCGGGGGGGAGUAUUGCACAGUGGGGGGGAGCGUGUUGCGGCAACGCCGCGGUCGGGAUGACGGCCUUCGGGUUGUGAACCGCUUUCGCCUGUGACGAAUCGUGAGUGACGGUAAUGGGUGAAGAAGCACCGGCUAACUACGUG